CCUGGAUGCUGUCACGACUCACACAUUCUUCGGAUGUCUAACAUUGGACAGCAUUUGGCCAGUCACCAUCAAGAUCCUGAGCGUGGAUAUUAACUGGGUGGCAGCGGUUAUCCGUGUCGUCCUUUUUUAUGACUCCCUUCCUGCAGCCAGGUAAAGCGAGUUCACAUUUAAUUAACAAUGAACAACUGUUUCUAAGACGUAUUUAUUUUAUUUGUGUAUCAUGGUACCGUUUUACUAAACUACUAACGCAAGCCUUAGACUUGCGCACAUAUCCUGACAGUCCAGAAACAAGGAGGAUCCAACUUUUGCCGCUUCAAUAAGUGGGACCAAGUCCACAAGCGCAUCGUAGGCAGCCUGGGAUGAUAAAUCUGAAACAAAUGAAUCCAAGUGUUUACCAAAUGUUUUGUAAGCAAAAGUGGGAAAAUGCUACGAUGUUUCGAAAACUUUGAUUAAAGACUUCUUUGUAAUUACAGUGUAUCAAAUUUAUUUGAACAACACGUACCUCCAAAUAUAGCAGUGUCAGCAUCAUCGCUAACACCGUGAAAACUGGCGAAGGCCGCGAAUAGCUCCGACACUGCCGCCGAUGUCUUCGUCAUUUCUGGCAGCUUUCUGCCGCCGCUAGAACCAGCCAACCCUAGCUUCUGAUGCCCCCAGGGAAUUUUUGCAUCGACAUCAUGCAUCCACUGCUUACACUGGGUGAAAACCAUAUGGUUGCUGCAAUAAAGGAUCUCCUGAGAGAAGAAGCUGGCAAUCCAGAUUAUAUAUUAUUGUUAUUAUCAUAAAUGUUUGAAUAAUGAUGAAAUUACUUUGACACUGAAUUUGAAUAUCAUUUGAAUAUCAGCUGUUUGUGCAAUCACUGAU